CCUACGGGAGGCUGCAGUGGGGGAUAUUGCACAAUGGGGGAAACCCUGAUGCAGCGACGCCGCGUGAGUGAAGAAGUAUUUCGGUAUGUAAAGCUCUAUCAGCAGGGAAGAAAAUGACAGUACCUGACCAAUAAGCCCCGGCUAACUACGUGCCAGCAGCCGCGGUAAUACGUAGGGGGCAAGCGUUAUCCGGAUUUACUGGGUGUAAAGGGAGCGUAGACGGCAGCGCAAGUCUGGAGUGAAAUGCCGGGGCCCAACCCCGGAACUGCUCUGGAAACUGGGAAGCUGGAGUGCAGGAGGGGUAAGCGGAAUUCCUAGUGUAGCGGUGAAAUGCGUAGAUAUUAGGAGGAACACCGGAGGCGAAGGCGGCUUACUGGACCGUAACUGACGUUGAGGCUCGAAAGCGUGGGGAGCAAACAGGAUUAGAUACCCUUGUAGUC
rnacentral:rRNA from 1 species